CUCUUUAUUUUGUUUUUCGACCCGUCUGUCAUCAUCCAACGAAGAUAAUACAUGCGGUCACGUGCUUCGCAACAUUCCGAUAUCUUUCGCUUGCAGGGAUCGUCGGCUAGGCAGACGUGACGGUAGCAAAUGUCACGUGGUUUAGUUACAAAGAACUGCGGAUGCUAGUAAACAGUCAGUGCGGCAAACCAACGUAGUGCUGGUCCAAAUAUAUUCACUAUAAAAAUAGUCAAGCACACAUACACCGUCACACACGGCACAUGUUGGACUAGUUCAACGAGAACCCGCCUGGUUCGCAGCGAGCGCAUAGCGCCGGAGCUCAGGAGCUUGGCUUCAAAACAGGGGCAUCGCGCAUUCCAUGUAUUGAAUAUGGCGUUCUUGGAAUAUGUCUUCCACUGUGGCCCCGGGCAGCGCGGUUAUGCCCCGACAACACGUAUCGUUUUGGGGACGUCCCAAACAGAUCCCAACGUCGCUGGCUCGAUUGAGGGAUCCGUGGGGAUGCCUUCAGAACUUAUACUUGCUAAGUCCAGCAACGAGGUUCGAAAAACGUCCCCAUGGGAGCAUGUCAGAGACCUCUGUACGAGUGGAGGGGGAACUGAUUCACGGCAAUGAGAGGAGGAGGGCGAGACUGCUGACUGCGCGGUUCAAUUUUCAACGGUCUUCUUGCGAUCGCAUGUGCUCCAGCGAGGCCUUGUCAAUGUUGCUGCCAACGGUGUUAUGUCAAUGAAUUGAACAUCGUGAGCUACUCCUCGAUCAAAGUGUGUUCAUCAUGAGACGCAUAUAAAACGAACAUCAAGGCCAACACUUCAUCGUCAUGUGAGCCAAGCUGUAGCAGGAAGCUUUUGCGUGAUAAACUGAAGGAACAUCAUACGACUGUCGCAACGAUGGUGACGCCUGCAGUGAAACGCGUUCGAUGUUUGUGGGCCAGUCAAGCGAACCGCUUUCGAUGUUGGUGAACACUCUUAGUGAUCAUGAGCCACGUCCCGUGUUGGUAGAUCAAAGACUUGGGGACCACGGGAGCAGUGAUGUGGAUGAGGUUCGUGACAUUGACGGUGCGAACUUGACUGAAUCGCGGCCUUCCCACCCGGAGGAAGCACUUCCAAAACUGACUGCAAUUUUCGUACCUGAAGCAUCAUGUGUGCUUCAAUAUGUGGCUACCUACACUUUUUACGUUUUACAAGUCAGUAUUUUUUCACCUUUCACCUUUUUUUUUUACCUUUCAUGUGUUGUACAUGCAGAUAAGUGCACAGUGCUUGGAACUUUGAUACAUUUGAGAUUAUCUCAUUGUCUUAUUGGAACCUGCCAUCGCCUAAGUACCAUCAAUUAUUCACACUCACACACUGUUGCGAGAAGAACGAUACCUGGUCGCCGCAUCUCAUCAACAUGCUCAGGCGAAGUCAGAGUCUUUUUCAUUGGAGUUUGUCUUAGUGUUUGAAUGCCAGGGUAUUAUGAAAGGUCGUAUUUUCUGUUUGCUUUUACAGAUUGUUUUGUGGGUACCUUGCAGUGUGUUGCAGUCUUUCGUGUCAUGAUAUUUUUAUGGUAAUUUUUCAUUUUUAUUCAACACGGAUAUCACAAAGUUCAUGUGACAUAGAGAAAGGAACACUCUCUAGCCAGUUCUUUCAUAAGGUGAUAUGCCCAGCGAUUAAUUUUUAGGUAAUUAGGUUAUGUUUUAAGCUUUCUCUUUUUACUGUGCUGCAUGUUUGAUAAACAUUUUGGAGCAUCUCCCUUCCAGCAGUGCAAUCUGUUAUUGUAAGGCUGAGUUGAGUAAGGUAAGUUGAGACUUGACUGAGAAAGUACUUGUCCAACAAGACAAGACAAAAGUACAACAACAGGAAGGCCACAACAAAGCUGAUCCGUGAUAUACAGUUUAUUACUGUGGAUUGCUCUUGAUGCUGUGAUAUUGUGAUUUACUGUUAUGCCAAGUGCUUCAAUUCCGCAUGCAAAUGAUGGAUGUAGAAUUACACUUGCGAGUCUCAAUAGUAAGAAUAAACUAGUUCUUUUCUGAA